GUUGCCGCUGCCACACAGCAACUACCGUGCAGAAAGAGUUGAGAAGAGAGUAGCCUCUGAUAUGUAGUCAGCAUGAAUCAGCCUUAGGUUCCCUGCCUCCAUACCCUAUUCUUCUGCCUCAUUAUGAUUCCACUAUGAGGCAUCUAGAGUAGUCAAACUUAUAAAGACAGAAAGUAGAGCUGUGGCUGCCAGGUGGGAGGAAGGAGAGAGAAGGAGUUAUUGCUUAAUGAGUAGGAAAUUUCAGUUUGGGAAGACGAAAAAUGUUCUGAAGAUGGAUGGUGGUGAUGGUCGUGCAACAAUGUGAAUGUACUUGAUGCCACAUAAAAAGUGGCUAACAUAACCACACGGAAGGAGAGAAAACGCCUGAACAGCUCCAACUUUGGCAGCCCAGAUGCCAGACAGUAAAUGAAGACGGGCAUCCCAUUCCCAGUAGAAGUGAUGUGAAGAACCAAAAAAAACCCACAGACAUCCCUAGAUUUACACCUCCAGGUGACCAACCCAGACACCGCCAACAGUUAGCACUACUCCAGUUGAAUACUCCCCAACAAAAAUCUAUCCUUGCUAUGUGUUGCCUGAAUUCAUGACCAACAAAGGUAUGAACGUAAUAAAAUGAUUGUUAUUUUA
rnacentral:lncRNA from 1 species